rnacentral:rRNA from 1 species
UACGUAGGGGGCGAGCGUUGUCCGGAUUUAUUGGGCGUAAAGAGCUCGUAGGCGGUUUGGUAAGUCGGGUGUGAAAUCUCCACGCUCAGCGUGGAGGGGCCACUCGAUACUGCCAUGACUCGAGUCCGGUAGAGGAGUGUGGAAUUCCCGGUGUAGCGGUGAAAUGCGCAGAUAUCGGGAGGAACAUCAGUGGCGAAAGCGACUUCCUGGAUCGGUACUGACGCUGAGGUGCGAAAGCGUGGGGAGCAAACAGG